GGAUUGGGAGCAGUACUGAGCCAAGUCGGAGCGGAUGGUGGCGAACUACCAGUAGCUUACCUAACCCGAAAGCUUUUACCCAGAGAAGUCAGCUAAGCCGCCAUCGAAAAGGAGUGCCUGGCUGUGGUGUGGGCCCUCAAAAAACUGCAGCCCUAUUUAUAUGGACAACCAUUUACAUUACUCACGGAUCAUAACCUGUUGGUGUGGCUGCACAGGGUGUCAGGAGACAAUGCCAGGCUGCUGCACUGGAGUUUGGCGCUGCAGCCUUUUGACUUUACAAUUCAUUAUCGCCCUGGGAAGCAAAAUGGCAACGCCGAUGGGUUAUCCCGAC